rnacentral:lncRNA from 1 species
CUCGCCGGGUAGGGUAAAAGGCACAGCAGCAGGACUGUGCGCCGCUGUGGAUAAAAGGCUACAGGGGUUGGCUCAGCUGCCUUUUCCACUGGCACGACUGUCAGAGCCGGUCGGUGGCGUCUCUCUCUCUCUCUCUCUCUCUCUCUUCCUCUCUUUCUCUCCAUCGGUGUCCUCUUGGCCAUCUACACCCUCACCCCCCUCUUCCGCUUUCUCCUCCUCUCCGUCUUUUUUCCGUAAAACUUUGCCGGAGGGAUACCCUACCUGUCCUCAGGUCCGGCGUGGGAGAGCCGAGAGGAGGGCGAGCGAGGCAGGGGACGGAAGGAGGGGCUACGGGGCAUCUCCGGCUUUUACCUGCGAGGCACCACAAAACGCUGGAGUUGUGAAGUGUUCCCACCCUUGGAUAAGUUGGACCCGGGGAAGCUCUCAUUGCUGUCUGGCACCCCGGAGAAGUUACGAGGAAGGUGGCAGGAUGGAUAAGAGGUUUUUGACAGGAGAUGAAGCCCUGCAGGAGUUUCAUGGGCUUCUGGACAAGACUCUUUCUGUGGAAGAGAAAGUGAACGCAACCUCCAUCCCCACCUCGCCCCUCCAGUGCACUCCCACCCCCUCACUCACCUCCACCAUAAGUACAUGGAGAUUAGCCCACUAGUGGGCCAGUCGCGCCUUGCAAAUCAGGUUUUAGAAGCAAAUUGAGACGUAUGAAAUGUACCAUUGAAGUGAGUGAUUUGAAGUGAAUGAGGCAGUCCACGAGUAGCUGUAAAUCAGUCCUGACAGCCCAAUGGAGGGAACUGACGGAGCCCCGUAAUCACAACCAGCAUCCACUGGAGGUAUUGAUCCGGAGCCUUCCAUAACUCUCCUCCACAUAACACAGGCAAUUUUGUGUAAUACCUAUAAUAACAUGGCAUUCAAACUCAAGUAGCCAUCACAGGCUUUGUAUCUAAUAUGGGGGUGAAGGCCUGCAAAUCUGUGAAAACAGAUGCAACACCUUCAGUGAUUCUGUCUGUGCCUUUCUCUCACUCGCUUUCACGCUCGCUGUGUAUACAGUACAAUCUAUGUAUUUUCAUGGGUGUCGGCCACUUGACAGAUAUGAUUCUUUGAAAAUGAUUGACGUGGUUCAGAUGUCAAAAUGAAAUUGGUUGUUAAAUGAUCUGUUCUUUUUGAGUUUUGAGGUUUGUUUGCAAGCUGACACUCUUUGUACUGUGAUGUGUUGGGAAUUAUUAAAGUGAACACUUAAACAUGCUCUUCAAAGAAAAAAAACAAGCAUUUCCCAUAAUUCUCUGGUCUAGUACCAGUUUACAUUUAUGACAAAGCUACUUUGGGGUGGAACAGUUGAGUAUGUACACUGCUUAAAAAAGAAUGAGGGUAGCUGUAUAAUAAAUGUAAUAGAUAAAGAGCCA